GUUGACACUACUGCAAUCAGCGGUUAAAGGUCCUGGAUUCGAUUCCUGGGGAGACCCCCGAAUUAGUCGGGAGCGCAAGAAUAUGGCUAGCUGUUGAGAUGUGGAGUUGAAGUCACAUUUGAUGUACCAGAUUCGCACGCUGAAUUGGUGGCGAUUGCCGAACCCCCCGUCUCUUCGGGUGUUCGGGUGAAUGAAGGCUGGAUCCGCCGCCUUGGACUUACAGUUCGUAUGGCGAAGUACAGUGUGGUAGUGGUGGGUGGUGCUAUAAGGUGAUACAUGAUCGUAGAACUGACAAUGUGAUAAAGCGGCCCAGAAGCCUCCCACUCUGUAACAUUACAUUACAUCACACAUUUCACAUCCUCCAUCAGUUUAGCAAGUCUCCAAGGGUGUAUUUCCAGUGCGGAUUAACGCCAGGGAUUAGCGUUAAUCCCUGUGCUAAUCCCAGCAGUGGAAAUCCCACCGGGAUUAAGCAGGAUUCGCCGGUGAUUCAGGAAUUCCUAGGACACCGUGCUUUCUAUUCAGAGGACUAGCAGGGGUAAGCAAGACAUUAGGAAAGAACGUAAAUUGAACUUGAUGUCCAUGUAUUUACCUGGCAACUUGUGACAAAAAAGUUAUUACCUGGCCCCACCCAGGUAGUAACUUUCCGUUCCUGGAUUAGCGUUCAUGGCGUUAUAUCUUACAUUAAUGUCUAAAACCCAGGAAUACCUAGGUAUUUCCAUAUGGAUGACCUCAAGUAAGCAAGUAGCAAUAUCUGAUUUGGUUUGCGCGAAAGGUGCUACUUCAAUGUCAGGCCUCAACGGUGGCCACAACGGCGAGAAGAGUGCGCUUCCUGCCCAUACUUUAUACUCAUACGAUUUGCCUAAUGCCCAAAGCAAUUCAGAACUGGUCUGGUCUGGUCUGGGUUGACACUACUGCAAUCAGCGGUUAAAGGUCCUGGGUUCGAUUCCUGGGGAGACCCCCGAAUUAGUCGGGAGCGCGAGAUUAUGGCUAUAGCUGCUGAAAUGUGGAGUUGAGGUCACAGUUGAUGGACCAGAUUCGCACGCUAGAUUGGUGGCGAUUGCCGAACCCUCCGUCUCUUCGGGUGUUCGGGUGAAUGGAUGUCCGCCCUAGACGGCUGAACCCGCCGCCUUGGACUUACAGUUCGUAUGGCGAAGUAUAGUGUGGUAGUGGUGGACGGUGCUAUAAGAUGAUACAUCGUAGAACUGACAAUGUGAUAAAGCGGCCCAGAACCCCCCCACUCUGUAACAUUACAAAAAAAAAGAACUGGUAAUUAGCUUCGGGAUCGCAUCAGAAAAUGUGCAUCGC
rnacentral:lncRNA from 1 species